ensembl:lncRNA LINC00970 long intergenic non-protein coding RNA 970
AGAGAGAGAGAAAGAAAGGGAGAGAGGGAGGGAGGAGGAAGGGAGAGAGGGAAGCAGGGAGGGAGAGAGAACAGGAGAAGAAGGAGGAGGUACAGAAGGACUUGGUGUGCUAUUAUGCACAUUUCACAGAUGGCACAGAGUGGGGAAGUCAGUGACCCAAGGUGGCAAGCCAGCUCUUGCUGAUGGUGAGGAGCCUCAUUAUCUUAAGACAACACACAGUGGAGAUGUGCUUUACGUAAUUGGCCUGCCCUGUGAAAACCCCUGGCUGUUUUUUCAGAUAAGGAGACUGAAGCAUCUAGAGUUGGAGUAAUUUCCACAAGAUCACAGAGGCAAGAUUUCACUCUGUCACCCAGACUGGAGUGCAGUGGCACAAACAUAGCUCACUGAAGCCUCAAACUCCUGGGCUCAAGAGAUCCUUCUGCUUCAGCCUCCUGAGUAGCUGGGACUUCAGAAUCCCAGUCCUCUCUCUCUCACUGACCCCGAAGAUAAGCAUUGGAAAGGGGAGCUUUGGGGAAAUGAAUCUGCCCUGUCAUCUGCGUAUAGAGCUAAUCUUAAAUCCCAACUGCCAAAUGGAUCCUGAGGUGUCAGAAACUCUCCCGAGAUAAGGGGGCUUCUAGCAACCAUCUGCAUUCUGGACCCAGGCUUCUUUCAGCAAGCAAAAGAAACCAGCUGAACUCCUAGGAUUGUUUUGAAAGCCCAGGCAAACGGCACAUUUGAGAACUGAAUUUGGCUCCAUUUGUGCAAGAGAAGAGAGAAGGUGUGGGUGGACAAAGCAAAGCAGAGCCCUGACCUCACACCAGCUGGCUGAGCUGUCUUGGCUUGCAUUUGCUGUUCCAGCAUUUGUGGAGUUUGAAAUCUGCAUGCUUGGAGUGCGGAGAGCUGGAUCUUGCACCACAGUCUCCCUGUGGGCUCUUGAAUCUUCAGGCGCCUAAGCCAGCAAGAGAUACCUUUAUAGAGAAAGGACAUGUAGCCUAGAUCUGUGCUUCUCAAUUAUCAUUGAUGAGAAAACCAGGGGAAGCAGAGGUAAGAACCUGUUCAAGAAGGCACAUCUCAGAUGUGGAAGAACCAUGAUUCAACUCGAGUCUGUCUGCUUCCCAAGACUGUGGUAUUUAAACAGCUUAUAAUGAAAAUUCCUUCUAUAGCUCCCCAUAAAAGGGCACACAGUUCUUUCUUAACGUAUUAUUUCAGGCAUUCAUUCACCAUUGAUGUAUUUGUGAAGGUGUUCUCUCUAAAUAAACUAUUGGGACCUUACUUGACUG